GACGAACCGUGCGAACGUUAUUCGGAAUCACUGGGCUUAAAGCGCGUGUAGGCGGGAGGGCACGUCCGUUGCUGAAAUCCCCCGGCUCAACCGGGGAAUCGGGCGCGGAUACGACUCUCCUUGAGGGGCGUAGGGGGACCUGGAACUUCCGGUGGAGCGGUGAAAUGCGUUGAGAUCGGAAGGAACGCCCGUGGCGAAAGCGAGGUCCUGGACGCCUACUGACGCAUGACGGACGCGAAAGCCAGGGGAGCGGAACGGGG
rnacentral:rRNA from 1 species